rnacentral:rRNA from 1 species
GGCCAGACUCCUACGGGAGGCAGCAGUGGGGGAUAUUGCACAAUGGGGGAAACCCUGAUGCAGCGACGCCGCGUGGGCGAAGAAGUAUUUCGGCAUGUAAAGCCCUAUCAGCAGGGAAGAAGAAAUGACGGUACCUGACUAAGAAGCCCCGGCUAACUACGUGCCAGCAGCCGCGGUAAUACGUAGGGGGCAAGCGUUAUCCGGAUUCACUGGGUGUAAAGGGAGCGUAGACGGCGACGCAAGUCUGGAGUGAAAGCCCGGGGCUCAACCCCGGGACUGCAUUUGGAACUGUGCUGCUAGAGUGUCGGAGAGGCAGGCGGAAUUCCUAGUGUAGCGGUGAAAUGCGUAGAUAUUAGGAGGAACACCAGUGGCGAAGGCGGCCUGCUGGACGAUGACUGACGUUGAGGCUCGAAAGCGUGGGGAGCAAACAGGAUUAGAUACCCGAGUA